rnacentral:lncRNA from 1 species
GACCAUAAUGAUUUUCAGCAACCAUGAGAUGUCGACAACACGUCCAAACAAGUCCAAAAGCAUCGACGAAUUUGCAGAGUCAAUGAAACAUGGCUGAUAAUUUUCCCGAGGCAUAAAAAAAUCAGAAUUAUAUAAUUAAUAAAAAUAUUAGGCGAAGAAACAUAUUCAAAACGUCGUGAACCAUGUUAUUAGAAAAGGUCUCACCGACGUACUGGGGCGCCGACAGGGUCCAACAUCAAUUUCACCGAAACACCCAAAUGAGUAGUGCUUCUUGAAGGUUUUGACGAGAGGAAUCCAAAAAUGAUGUCAGUUUUUCAAGACGAUGAACGUGUUGGCCGGAGUUUGGCAACACAGCCGCGGCGAGGGUGAAAACCCAUUUUUUUUAAGUAUAACGAUUGGCGAUUUGAAGCAUAGGUAAUGGAAGAGGGUGUUUUGUGGAGUCCAAAUAUGGUCUCAGUUUUCAUUGGUGAUGGUCGUGGUGGCCGGAAUCUUGAUCAACAGGUGGUGAUGUGAUUUUUGGCAAAGAGAAAUAGGGCGUUUAAGUUUGCGAUUCAAGUUGAAAAUGAAAGCAGAGAUCACAACUAUCACAAAUGUGGUCUCGGUUUUGCACAACACCCACUAUAACGAUCAUAACUGAAGAGAGAACAUAGAGAAGAAAUAGGAAUCGCGGCAAGGGUAUAUACGAAGAAGAAGAAGAAGAAGAAGGCUCAGUCUUCCUUUUCCUUUUUAUUAUCUUAUUUUAUGUUUUCAUUACUAUUAUUAUUAUUAUUAUUAUUAUUAUUAUUAUUAUUAUUAUUAUUAUUAUUAUUAAUUGUUACUCUUGUAUAUGAACUUAACCCAUAAAACACAUUUUACUCCUUUCUUCUAUUUUAUU